GAGCUGUGCCCAGCAGGCAUCGUGGGGCAUCCUGGAACCCAGAUCCCUGCUCCUCUGAAUCCUUUCCAAGCACUGCAGUGCAAAUAACUAAUAAUAACAGAGCUGUUGCUGGGGGAAAGAAUCAUCCUUGAAACUGUUCAGACACUGCAGAGGAAAGACAGAUAAAAGGACUUGUACAGAGGAGUAAAUGUAUAUGUCCCUGAAAUGUGCUGCAGUAUUGGGUGAUCACUCAGUCUGGAAGACAGAGACUGCAUGGCAGG